AUUGAACGCUGGCGGCAGGCUUAACACAUGCAAGUCGAGCGGAGAUGAGGUGCUUGCACCUUAUCUUAGCGGCGGACGGGUGCGUAAUGCUUAGGAAUCUGCCUAUUAGUGGGGGACAACAUUCCGAAAGGAAUGCUAAUACCGCAUACGUCCUACGGGAGAAAGCAGGGGAUCUUCGGACCUUGCGCUAAUAGAUGAGCCUAAGUCGGAUUAGCUAGUUGGUGGGGUAAAGGCCUACCAAGGCGUCGAUCUGUAGCGGGUCUGAGAGGAUGAUCCGCCACACUGGGACUGAGACACGGCCCAGACUCCUACGGGAGGCAGCAGUGGGGAAUAUUGGACAAUGGGGGGAACCCCGAUCCAGCCAUGCCGCGUGUGUGAAGAAGGCCUUAUGGUAGUAAAGCACUUUAAGCGAGGAGGAGGCUACUGAGACUAAUACUCUUGGAUAGUGGACGUUACUCGCAGAAUAAGCACCGGCUAACUCUGUGCCAGCCGCCGCAGUAAAAC
rnacentral:rRNA from 1 species